CAAACAAUCUGAGUUGGACAGACAUGCGUGUCCUUAACUGUCUUGGCAUUGUUUCAGCCCAUGAGUUAGCUCCUGGUCAUUUUCUUGCAUUAUUUCUGUACGAUGGAGCAAGAACACAGUCCCUCUGGAAGCCCAAGGUCAGAGAGCUUGCAGCAGACCCGUUGCCAGGACGACUGUGUUUCUGAGCACAGUGCCAAGCUGCACACUACCCUCUAAGUUUUGUUGAAUUGCACAGAGCUGCACGGCUGGCUGCUGGAGGAGGAGGCUUGGAACGGGAACAGAGGGCAAGCUAAGUUCAGAUCCACACUGCUAAGCUGUGGGAACAUCUUGGGCAACUGAGAUGGGGAGACCGACCUCCAGAAGUCAUGGUCCAGCCAGAGCCGCACAGUCGUUCCUCAUCUUGAGAAUGCCAGGGUGACACUUCCUGAAUCCGACAGGUCACUCUACCUGCAUUAACUAGUAUAGUUGCAUGUCAUCUUAGGGAUAGGGAAUACUCCUCAUCUGUUACUUAGGUGAAGAUGAUUGGUGUAGGGUGGCCUGAUGGUGCUGUCUAUGCUCCAGCUGAGCCCUCUUGGGUCUGGGACCAACCGGCUCUGCCCAUGAUGCCCAGAGUAGGAACUGGUAUGCUAAUUUAGAAAACUACUUUAAAAAAAGAAACCCAGAUUCUGAACGCAAACAUACUCUUACAGAGGAACCUGUGCCAAGUUUGCCCCAUCUGUUUUGCAGGGGUCUAUGACUAAACCUUCUGAUGGACCCCAGAUCUCAGUAUCUGUCUUGGCUCCAUUUCAAUAGGUACAUCAAAUAGCCAGUCUGACCUGCUGCUAGGGAGACCAGUUGUCUAGUCCAUCUGGGGCCAAUCAUUCAAAAGUCCUGUGUUAACAGGAAACGCCUCAACCCUACAUUCUUCACAGAGAUGCUUUGGUGCUCACUGCGCAGCACAUUUUGCAUUUUCCUAGGGGUUUCCAGAGAAAGCAUGUCUUUCCUCCAAAUGGUCCCCCAUAUCAUUUUAAUUUUGGAAUCAUCUACAACACAUCUCCAAUCACAGGAGCAUAGAGAGCAGAACGAAAGAUACUCUCUGUCCUGGAGUGGGGCAGAUCUCUGAGGUUCACUCUCUAGUCAUGCAGAGUUGAGCGACUAGCCAGUUCUCCUCGCUCCCAUGUGGCCCACUGCACUAUCAGUGCCCCUUCACAUCUUCAUUCUCCCCAGGCACCUUUGAAGGUCUUCUUUCUACAGUAUCAUACAGAAUAAAAAGAACUGGGUUUGGCCGUGGUGGGUGACGGGGGAACAGCUUGUAUAGAGGAAAGAGUGAGGACUUUGCUGGGAGAAAGAUCUGCCGUUGAGUCUCGUCUCUCAUGGGUCAUUUUUUGGACCGUGGGUGAGUUUGUUGGCAAGAUGAUAAUACUAUGAAAAAUCAGCAGUGCUUCGUGGGACUCGACUUGCAUGGAGAGGGUGCAGUCAGCAUGCAAUGGAGGACACGAGAGGCCCAGUUCUAGACUGGGCACCUGAGCUCAGUGGGGUUGCUAUGUCUGUCUGUCCAGGGAGAUGCUGCUGAGUGACUGCUCCAUGCCUAAGGUGGCCACAAUCUGCUCUUCUUUCAAUGUCACUUCCCCAGGCAAGCUUUACCUUAGACUCAUGGGACCCCGCACUCUUUAUGUUUCUUUUUACAAAAUGAAUUUAUAUUUGUCGAUUGUUUAUGUUCAGUCUUCCCUACUUGAUGACAAACUUUCUAAAGGCAAGGCCAUGUCUAUCUUGUUCACUGCUGUAGCUUCAGUAACAAAAACAGGGACUGGUACCCCUCAGGUAUUUACAAAUGUCUGUUGAACAACACUAAUCAAAUGACCACCCAUGGGUACAUGGAGAAGAUGGUGUGCGCCUCAGACGUAGUCAGCCACUAGGUGGCGCGAAUGCUUCUUUCACAAGCUAUCCCGCAGGCUCAGAUGUAGUCUGCCACUAGAUGGCGCGAUGAUUCUCACGCGCGCUAUCCCGCAGGCUUUUUCAGACCGGAGGCAAAGGUUCAAUUUUCAAUUCUGCUUGGAAGGGAUUCUGCUGAGUUUAUAACAUCUGUCUUCACUGAGCGCCAUGCUAGGCAAUUUACAAUGUGUACUGUAGCUCUCACAGCUGCCACGGGAGAAGUUUGCCCGCUUUACAAGGGAGGAAAGUCAUUUCAAGCAACUUGAAGUAACUUUUCUUAAAAUACACAACCCACAGCAGGAAAAUAACACUCCGGACCUGAAUCUGUUGUCUUCUAUAUCUGAGUUCUUUCUAGCAUAUUCUAGUGCUUCUAUUACAGUGUCUCAUAAGCCAGUAAUAUACUUCCUUCUAUUAAAAAAUAUUCUCACAAGAGAUUGGUGUUUUAUCAGAGACCCAGUUAGAAGUCUCUGCACGGCCCUUGGUUUCUAAAGUCAACUUAGAGAAGAGGGGAGUCAAGUCAGAAUAGACUCAGUAUUUCUUGGGCAAGACCUUUCGUUCUUGAGCUUGUGAGUGACCUAAGCAUAGUUGGUGAAAGGAGAAUAUAACCCUCUGUAUUAACCAAUCAUGAGUAGCUACUAACUUCAUUCAUGAACAUCUAGCUACUAAGUUCAUUCAUUCAGCAACUAAGGUGACAACUGGUCUGGCAGACAUGAAGAUACACUAAAGAGAUACUGUGUCUCUCAAUCUGUCAGACAUCUGAAACAAGGGAUCCCAAAGAAAUGGGAACUUGCCUAGGAAUCUCAUGGUGGGAGAAGGAAGGGCAGCUACCAAAAGGGGAACUUUUCUCCUGGAAAGAGACACAGUGCGGGAUGAAACUAAUGAUGGACCAGUGGUGGACAGGACCACAUCCUGACUGAGACUGCUUAGAUGUGCACAUCCUUGGCCUCUAUUUACAUUUUGACCUUAUGUCAUGCCCCCAGAGACAGACUCGAAGGGUUUGAUGGAUCUCUUUGUUCCUCUUCCCAAUGUGGCCACAUGGAAUCUCUCCCUUUUUUCUGCUUUCCACUUAAUAAUUUAGCUGUUUUAAUUGCUCAUUGAGGACCUGACUCGGGCCACAAGGCAUAACGCCCAAAUUCUAUAACGAGUCCACGCACGGAGCUGAGCAAACAGAUGGGUUUACAAUGUGGUCAGUGAUAAUGAAAUGUGUGCAGGAAAGACAUAUAUAUACACACAAUGGUACCUCAGUGCCAGGCAGAUGCUACACACCACAAGAGCACCAUGAAUCUAGAAGGCAGAAAGAGUCCUGUGAAAGUCAGAGGUGACCAGAAAACACAUCAGGAAGACAGCAAGGAAAUUAUGCCGUUUUUACUCAAGGUGCAAACCAAAGAUCAGAGGCACUGACCCCAGCUGAGAACAUGGGGGCAAUGUGGGGUGCUACCCAGACCUCCUGAACAAGAAUCUGCAUCUUAACAAGCUCUCGGAGUGACCCUCACAUGUUUAAAGACUCCCGAGGACCAUAGUAUACUAAAAUAUUGUAGUAAUUUAAUUUUUAACUUUAAGUUUGGACUUUUGUCUUGCUCAUGAAGGAGUUGUACUCGAUAGAUACUCAGGGCUCCUGCUCUUCUUCACAAGGAACCUCACAGACGCUUCUAAUGGCUCCAUUUUCUAUAGGCUGAUAAAUUAUUAACUAGAAGCAAGUUCUUACCCAGGAGCAUUUUUUUGUAUAUGUCUAUUUGAAAAAGUUUCAUGAAACUAGGUAGGCUUUGAAAAAAAAAUCGAAAGGAUUAACUUUUUAAUCACUAAAGAGACUAUAACGUAUUCAUUUCAAUAGUGGCUUAUUGUAAUUCUUUGGAGAUCAGUAAUUUAUACAUGUCACAUACAUCAGGACUCCUCCGGCCACUCCCCAACUCCUAUGCUGUCCUUAUUCGCCAUUCUGAAUUCAUGAGAGUUGAUACACGGAGUCCACGUGUGCUGUGCUGGAGAGAAUCUUCUAAGAAGCAAGCACACUCGAUGGACCUGACUCGAUGGACCUGACUUAACACCUUAGUGGAGGUGAACACUGUCCUAUGUCCUUACCUGUGGCUCCUGCCUGCUUGUCUACUCAUGAACGUUGUGUAAGCCCAUUUUGGAAAGGCAGUGUGGUGUAAAAUUUAAAGACACUAAAAAAUUCUAAACAGAGGAACAUGGUCCCCGAGUAGACAGGUCCCUGUACAGCAUCACUCCCCGCGAUUCAGAUUCCUGUGUCUAUCUAGGUGUCUUUAGAUGGUUGCUAAGGACCCUUCCCUGGUCUAGUAUUACAUGUACCCUAGUUACCUAGGAGUAGGAGCAUGGAAUGUCAUUCAUUAAACCCAGAAUAUAUAUUCCCAAAUAGAAAUGGCCCACGCUAUCCUCACUCCCAGAUAUAAAAGUUGAGAAUGUUGGUUACCAUAGCAACUCACCUUCGUGGAGUCAUUUAGAAAUCCAAUUCUGUAAAGUGACAAUAUUAUGUACCAGCACCUGCAAGGCUCCAUAAUAUUUCCUCUACUUCCCUUCUUGCCCUGGGCUAUGGUGCCAAGGAUCGUCAUAAUCUGGCGAAGCAAUCCGAGUCCUCAAGCUGCCUUGCGGGCGGGCGGGCGCUGGAACAGAAGGUGCUGAGAGGGCGGGAGCGUCAGAAGGCCUCACUCUGGUUUACUAAUUCCACAGCCGUCCUUCACAGACUCCAGCAAAUAUUUUGUGAUGUUGCAAGGUGUUAGGAGGAGUGAAAUGCAAGCUGUGAUUCAGCCGGCAUGAAGACUUUGCAAACACGAAAGGGCGGCGUGUCGUGAGGCUGCGUCUGACUUCUUUGAGUGCACUGAGCAGAGUGCUUGACAAGUGCUUUCUGUCAGACGCUGGGAUCGCGCGUACCGGAUUUUAAACCCAAGACCUAUGUAAAAUUGUUUGGUCAAGUAGGUCUCACUUGAGUUAGCUGUGAGUUCUCUCUGUGGAGGGAGUGAACAUGUGCUCAUUUGUAUGAAUGGGUUUUCAAAUGUGCACGCAUAUUACAACGUCCAAUAUGCAUAAAUUAAAAUUAAUUAAUUUGCAAUGUUACUACGUCUUAGCUGUGUUUUUAAUCAACUGAUCAUAAAAGCAGGGUCAUUCUUGAGCUUAAGGAAAGAGGUUGUUUUGGGUGGAGAGAGCUGCUGAAGCAGCCUUACUUUUCAGAUCACAUCUUGAUUCUGAGAGCUGAUGACAGGGGCACCUUACUGUUAGGAGGGGCCUUUCCUCUGUUACUGGCUUCCUUGGCAUGCCAUAGAUGCGGAGUUCAUUUACCCCUGGUUUCCAGAACAUCUUUGAUUGGCCAAUUGUGCACCUUUUCUCCAUGGGAAAUGUUAUAUCUGAAUAUAAGCUGUGAACGAUGGAUAUAACUCUUAGUUCACACAUUUUAUGACAUCUAACUUCAGCUGACAAAGCUUCAGAUGACAAAAAUAAAGAUGGUGUGGUGCUUUGAAGAUGCUUGACCCAAGGAGUGGCACCACUAGAAGGCAUGGCCUUGUUGGAGGAAGUGUGUAUCAUUGUGAGGGUGGGCUUUGAAAAGACCUUCCUCCUGGAAGUCAAACUGCUCCUGGCUUCCUGUGGCUCCUCAGCUCCGUCCCCAGCACCAUGCCUGCCUGAAAGCUGCCGUGCUUCCUGCCUUGAUGAUAAUGGACUGAACCCCUGAACCUGUAAGCCAGCCUCAAUUAAAUGUCACCCCUUAUAAGAGUUGCCUUGGUCAUGGUGUCUCUUCACAGUAAUGAAGCCCUAAGGAAGACAGAUGGUGUGCCACAUGGCAGGACAGUCUAUGGUCUGGAAUCUCAAAACAGUGAUCUCUGAAGAUAUUUCUGUUGAAUAUUGUGCUGGUUAUAUUUUUGUAAACUUGACACAAAUUAAGAGUUCCCUGGGAAGAGGGAUGCUCUAGGAAUUGCCUCUGUUAAGAUUGACUUGUGGACAUGUCUGUGGGUAUUUUCUUGAUGAAUAUUUGAUGUGGGAGGGUCCAAGUAUUAAAGGUGGGGCCACCCAUAGGCAGGUGAGUUUUAUUAGAAAGCAGCUGAGCAAGUCACGGGAAUAAGUCACUAAGUAGCAUUUCCCUCCGUGGUGUAUCUCAGUGAUGAACUAGAACCUGCAAGUCUAUUUUGGUCAGUGUUAAUUCACAGCAAUGGAGAGGAAAAUGUGUGUGUGUGUGCCAUCGUGAUCUUAGAUACACACAUGGGGACACACCUCUUUCCUGAGGUUCUGACACUUUCAGGGGGACUCUACUUAAGGUCACAGGGAACAUGUACUCUCUCUGUUUCCAAGUCUUACAAACCCAGCUGAGACUGCUUAUCUUCCAAGUGAACGUGGGUAAUGGGACAGAGUUCCCGACCACAAAUCCCGUCUUCUCAGAGGGCUUUCUCAAUUGUAGGCUCCUCCUUUCUUCCAAACAUUGUCUGUGCCCUUACUUUGUUUUUUCCCAUCUCCAGGGAGCUUCUAAAACCAAAUGGAGGAAGACUUGUUUGUUUCUCUGUUUCUUGCUGUUAUGUUUUCUCUGGGCUCAGGGCACAAACUAGGCUACCCUGGGAGAGUGACAACCAGGGAGGAAGAUGAUAGAAGGAACCCAUCACCGUGCAACAUAUGCAGAUCAGCAGAAUUGCCGGAUCCAGGGUUUGCAGGAGCCUCCGCCAAGCAGCCUCGAUAAAGCCACAACCUCUGGCUUAUUAAACUACAUUUAAGGCACGACUCUUAUGACAAGUUGCACCAUCUCCUUGAGACUUUACUUUGUACAUGACAAGCCUUGGUUGACCACCCUGCGUCAAUUCCCGAUCAGGACCAAUUCUUUUGAGGCUCAAAAAAAAAAAAAAAAAAAAAAAAAAAAAAAAAAGGUUUGUGCUUAAUGUGUAUAUGUACUGGUCAUUGAUGUAAUGAGAAGAAACUCACAAACUAGCAUGGAUAUUUUGGGGAAAAAUGGUGUGAACCCCAAAUACAAUGAAGUGAGGUACCGAAGGACGCAGCUUUGAGUGGGUGGAGAGAAACAAGUGGCAUUAGACCUGUCACUGAUGGGAAAAAAAAAAAAAACAAACUGUGAUGGCAUUAAAUAUGGGGACAGGUUUGGCAUACACUUGAGUGCUAACUGGCUCACAACCUUAUGACACCUCUGGAAGUGGGCUGGAAAGCUGACUUAGAGAACACUGGCUGGAUGAAGGACAAAUGAGAACCAGGUGAUUUUCUGACCCUGCAGCACAACGCCUGUGCACACGUCUGGCGGAGGAGUAUCGCCCAUUCCAUACUAUGGCCAAAAUCUAGAGGUGCCAGAGAUGGGGAAACAGAUUUUCACCAUGCACAGCUGAUGGUGUGCACUGGACCUUAGAGCAGGAAGAGCCAGUGACUGAACACCCACUACUCAGGCUCUUUCCCUCCAUGUGAACCUCUAGGCAAGAGAAAUUAAGAGUGCUAGUUACUUUCUUCCCAGUCAAAGGUAUCACUUAGUGACACUGUUGCGGAAGCUUGCCAUCACUGUCAGCAGAGCUGCUGAACAAUCUAAGUCUCUUCCCUGUUGGGUCCGCAUGGGACAAAUGGCCAAAAAAGUCAGGGAAAGCUUACUUAGAAACAGGGAGGCAGAAACGAGAAAAGCAACUAGAGGAGGGAGGAGUCUGUGGGGGGGGGGAACCUAAGAAAUUGUACAAGACAAGCCAGACCUGGGGAGUGCUUUCCUUGUUCAUCCCAGCAUUUGGGAGGCUGAAUCUAGAGUUCUAGGCCAGUCUGGGCUGGUGGUGCUCCCCAGCCCCAAUAAACCCACAGAUAGUUCUCCGCUUAUGAUAACUUGACAUCAGAUCUUCUGAAUUUAGGAUAGUGAGGAAGCAUUCUUCAUUUAGAAGAAAUGUACUUGGCUCUGGAAUGUUGAGCUUUCCCCAGGCUAGUGAGAGGUAGGAAGAUGCUUUUUUGAGAUGCUGGCAGCGGCAUGUGGAAGGAGGAUUCGGGUGGGGGAUGACAACUGAUGAUCCAGGGAGCUUUGCUGUAAGCUGUGAUGUUCGGUUGCUGGCUGUGAUUGUAACAUUUUCAGCCUACAAUGGGUUUACUGGGAUGGAGAACUUUAUCAAAACAAACAUCUUAGUCCGUCUGUAAUGGUCAUGGGUGACUAUGGCAAAACACUAAGGACCAUAUUUACCUUCCUGCUCCAAUUAAUUCUUUAAAACUGGGAAAAAUUGUGAAAACCGGUUUUGGAUAUUGGAGAAUAGGCAGCACAGGGCUGAGACUCCUACAGAAGCAGAUCCUAGUCAUCUUAUUGAGUGGGGACCAAGGCUAGAGUUAAGGCAGUGUGGCAGUGCAAAGAUACAGAGCAGAGUCCUAGAAAGGCACCAGGGCCACAGAAAACGUUCCAGAAAUCCUCCAUUGGCAUCCUUAUGUGUCUUUGUCACAUAUGAGGGUGCCCAUAUCUAGUGUGCAAGCCCACACGGCUGGGGGCUGGGAGCUGAAGAGUGAACUGGCUGUGGUGGCUGAAGCAGGAUGAUAGUAAGCCCUCACUGACAACCAGGCCUCAGAUGCAGCCCUGGAGAGACCACACCUUCAUCCUGGGGCUAAACUAUCCUUACAGUAAGGGUUCCUCUGCAUCCUUCCUAAGCAGCGUUUUGAACAAAAGUGGCAAGAACUAAGCUUAAGCAAACACGACUCCCCAUGAGGUCAAAGCCGGGCACCUCUCUUUCAAGAAACACAUUUAACUUUUAACAUUUAACUGUGACAUUUGUUGUGGGCCUUCUGUUACCUUAGUAGGCUAAGGAACUCCUUUCUAUUCUAAUUUUAUAACAAUUUUUACUGUAACUGGUUUUAGAAUAUUUCAUUAUUUAUAUCUCUAUUUGCAUGUAUGUGUGGGUGCGCUCACCUGUUUGUAGAAGCAGAGGUCAGAAGAAGGGCAUCAGGUGCCCUUCAUCAUUUUUCCAGUUCCUCUGAGGCAGUGUCUUGUUCCUGAACCUGGGGCUCAAGUCUUCAAGCAGCAGUGACCAACCCUCCUGUCCUUACCCUUCUCAGUCCUGGGGCUGUGGGCAUUUGCAAGGGGACCUAGUUUAUUUCAUAGGGGCUAGAAAUAUAUAUAUAUGUGUAUAUGUGUGUGUGUGUGUAUGUGUGUGUGUGUGUGUGUGUGUGUAUAAAACUGUAGCCACUGUGACUAACCAUUGGGACACCUCUCCAGCCCUGACCAUUGGACUUUAUCAGAUAAUCUUUACCACACAGAGACGUCAUCCAGCUUUCCUAUUAUUUUCUAACGUGGGCACCUUUAAUAGGUUUAAAAAAUGUCAGCCAUCCUUGAAUUCCCAGAGUAAGCCCACACUGGUCACAAAACAUUGUUUUGUGUUGCUGGAUUCGUUUUCUAAUAUUUUCCAUCUUUGUUCUGAAGAUUGCCUUUUAACAAAAUUUUAAACUUAUUUUCCAGAGUUAAAGAUUCAUUUCUAUUUGUGUGUGUGCAGGAGACUAUGGAGGCCAGAGGCGAGGCCGCGAGCCACCAUGUAGAUGCUGGGAAGCAAACCAGCAUCUGGGUAAGAGCUGUGUGCAGGUAACCCCCCCCCCCCCAUCCCUGCCCAUUCCACUUUUAAAGUCUCACAUAGCUAAGGAAUGCUAAACAUUGUAUAGCGUAGUCCCUAAGCUACUUAUAUGGAGUUCAUGGCCUUAAACUUGUAAUAUUGUCAAGGGUCACCUUUAGCCUGUAAUCCUCCUGCCUCUGCUUCCCAUGUGUUGAUCAGCACACCUAGUGCAUAUGGUACUGGGAAGCAAACCCAGGGCUUUGUGCACUCAGGCAAAUGCCACUGCCCUUGUUUCCACAUUUUACACGUUUUAUGAUAAACUUCUCUGGCUAUCUUAUCUCAAUAUUAUCUGGGACUUAAGCCUACAUAUUUGAUCUUUCGGUUGCUUUAACUGCAAAUAUUUUAGCAUGGUUGCAAAUUAAACCCAGGAAGAGCAUCGUUGCCCCCUGGUGGAAAGGCCUACUAUUACCACACUGGAAAGUCCCGCGGGGACAGGUCUCACUCAGCUUAGUCCAUCCAUCCAGUCUCUCCCUGGUGUGUUUAAACCUGUAUCUUUACUUCCACUGACUCCCCACUAUUUUAGCUCAGCUUCCAACUUUAUGGUUAUUAUUGGGCUAUAAUCACUGCUUUGAAAUAGGCUCAGAUUCUACUCUUAUGUACAAACAUUUAGGAAUAAUAAAGCAGAAAUCCAAUAAAUCUUGAACUUUAAAAGCACUCAGCUUCAUUCACUAAGUUACCUGGGAGGGAAGCAACACCAUACAAACUGUCGGACUUUGCUCUGUAUGAACAGGCUGAUAAGUGAUAAUCACAUGUUAACUGUUUUGUAGGGCGGGGGGGGGGGGGGGGGGGCAAUCAGAACAGACCGUCCUGUGCUGGAGGGUAAGGACCUGUGUGAGUACAGCACCCACAGACCAGUGCCGCUGGCUCCUUCAUGACUUAAAAACCCCAACACUUCCCCAAAUCAUAAGUUAAUUAAACACAGAAGGGUUUGGUUUUUUUUUUUUGGUUUUUCGAGACAGGGUUUCUCUGUGUAGCCCUGGCUGUCCUGGAACUCACUUUGUAGACCAAGCUGGCCUCGAACUCAGAAAUCCGCCUGCCUCUGCCUCCUGAGUGCUGGGAUUAAAGGCGUGUGCCACCACUGCCUGGCUAGUGAUGUGUAUUUAAGAUCCUGCUGAUGGAAAGAGAAUAUGCUUUGUGUCUCCAGGUAGGCUGAGGGUUUUAAAGGUGGAACGCCCAACCUAAGAAGGCAACAAGAAAAACUUUCAUUUGAAACCUCAAAAAUAAUCUCCUAGCAGUCUACAGUGACAUCAUUGAAGACACAACAGGCCAGGGUGCUUGCUUUAUUUCUGAGGGAGUGGCAGCGGGGGUGGAGGGAUGUUAAGGAAAGACUUGUUUCUUGCUUCAAAGAGCAUUCCGAAACAGAAGAAACUUAUCCUCAUUUGAAUUUAAGAUAAUGCUGACGGAAUGCACAUCUCUGAACUUCAGUGCCUGGACAGUUGGGCCCCAUGGCUCUCAGUCACAUGUUGGACUUUAGUGUUAACAGCAAAUUUAAGUAAAAUAUGCAACUUGUCUUAGACUUUCGGCAGGACUGGUCACUAAGGAACCACUCUGCAAUAAUUUAUAGCUCAUGAAAAUGCACUUAACUAAGGUGCUGCUCAUUCUAAGAACUGUGACAUUUGUGAAUAAAUGAGAAAUCUGAGGUCUGGAUGUCAAGUUCAGAGCAAAGGAUCAGUAAUUUCACAUUUGCAGUAACUAUAAAUAAAUGCAUGGAUCAGGUAAGAAUCAUAUGGAUAAUGUUGAGUAGACAGUGCGUACAGAAGUCAGGAACACCUUAUUCAUUAAUUUUGUCUCUUAUCUAGUUCAGUACAAUGCUCACAAGGAAAACAACCACUUAAGGCAGAAAACUGGGCGUAUCAUUGCUGUUCAGAACUUUGUGAGAGCAGACAAAUCAAUACUGAUCAACUUCCCUGCUUCAGGCCGAAUCAUUCAUCUUCACACAGGUUAUUUUGUAAGAUGGACGUCCAUUCAUGCUAUGCCUUGAAUAGUUGAAGCA